UAAACGUGUUGUCACUGAAAAAUACUGUCGCUUGCAAUUGUUAUUAAUCCAGUUAUGAGUGUGUAUUUUGCAUUUGUAAAAUUAAAGGGCUUUGUAUUUCUAGAACCGUAUCACAAUUGAGAAUCGACUCGUGUAGAUGUAUGGCUGCCAGAUCGAGUCUACCUCUGAAAACAACAAGCUAGCAACGAGGAAUCGGCCCGGAAUCAAAAUGAAUGACAGACCAGAAUCGGCCCAAGUACCUCAGACCAGUCUCCCGGAAUUCAGCAGACUUUGCCGGCAUUUUACCAGAAUCCCCCAUAA